rnacentral:rRNA from 1 species
CCUACGGGCGGCUGCAGUAAGGAAUAUUGGUCAAUGGAGGAAACUCUGAACCAGCCAUCCCGCGUGAAGGAUGAAGGGGCUCUGCCUUGUAAACUUCUUUUGUCUGGGGCGAAAAAGCUCGAUUUAUCGAGAACUGACGGUACCAGAAGAAUAAGCACCGGCUAACUCCGUGCCAGCAGCCGCGGUAAUACGGAGGGUGCAAGCAUUAUUGGGAUUCACGGGGUUUAAGGGGUGCUAGGGAGGCAGAGUUGAAAGGCUGUGGCUUAACCAUGGAAUUGCCAUUGAUACUGCAGAGCUUGAAUGAGGUUGAGGUUGGCGGAAUGUGACAUGUAGCGGUGAAAUGCUUAGAUAUGUCAUGGAACACCGAUUGCGGAGGCAGCUGACUGGACCUAUAUUGACGCUGAGGCACGAAAGCGUGGGGAGCGAACAGGAUUAGAUACCCGUGUAGUC